AGAGCGAACGCUGGCGGCAGGCCUAAAACAUGCAAGUCGAACGGACCCUUCGGGGUUAGUGGCGGACGGGUGAGUAACACGUGGGAACGUGCCUUUUGGUUCAGAACAACUCAGGGAAACUUGAGCUAAUACUGAAUAAGCCCUACGGGGGAAAGAUUUAUCGCCAUUAGAGCGGCCCGCGUUGGAUUAGCUAGUUGGUGAGGUAAAGGCUCACCAAGGCUACGAUCCAUAGCUGGUCUGAGAGGAUGAUCAGCCACACUGGGACUGAGACACGGCCCAGACUCCUACGGGAGGCAGCAGUUAGGAAUCUUGCGCAAUGGGCGAAAGCCUGACGCAGCCAUGCCGCGUGAAUGAUGAAGGUCUUAGGAUUGUAAAAUUCUUUCAGCGGGAAGAUAAUGACUGUACCCGCAGAAGAAGCUCCGGCUAACUUCGCGCCAGCAGCCGC
rnacentral:rRNA from 1 species